CCUACGGUGCGCAGCAGUGGGGAAUAUUGCACAAUGGGGGCACCCCUGAUGCAGCGACGCCGCGUGAGCGAUGAAGUAUUUCGGUAUGUAACGCUCUAUCAGCCGGUAAGAAAAUGACGGUACCUGACUACGAAGCCCCGGCUAACUACGUGCCAGCCGCCGCGGUAAUACGUAGGGGUCAAGCGUUAUCCGGAUUUACUGGGUGUAAAGGGAGCGUAGACGGCUUGGCAAGCCAGAUGUGAAAGGCUGGGGCUCAACCCCAGGACUGCAUUUGGCCCUGUCAUGCUAGAGUGUCGGAGAGGCAGGCGGAAUGCCUAGUGGAGCGGUGAAAUGCGUAGAUAUUAGGAGGAACACCAGUGGGGAAGGCGGCCUGCUGGACGAUGACUGACGUUGAGGCUCGAAAGCGUGGGGAGCAAACAGGAUUAGAUACCCCAGUAGUC
rnacentral:rRNA from 1 species